rnacentral:rRNA from 1 species
CCUACGGGGGGCAGCAGUGGGGAAUAUUGCGCAAUGGGCGAAAGCCUGACGCAGCGACGCCGCGUGAGGGAUGAAGGUCUUCGGAUCGUAAACCUCUGUCAGCAGGGAAGAACGGUCACUGUGCUAAUCAGCAGUGAAUUGACGGUACCUGCAAAGGAAGCACCGGCUAACUCCGUGCCAGCAGCCGCGGUAAUACGGAGGGUGGGAGCGUUAAUCGGAAUUACUGGGCGUAAGGCGCUCGUUGGCGGUAGGUCAAGUCAAGGGUGAAUGCCCCGCGCUCAACGUGGGAACUGCCGUUGAAACGGGCAGACUGGAGUGUGUGAGGGGAUAGUGGAAUUCCAGGUGUAGGGGUGGAAUGCGUAGAUAUCUGGAGGAACAUCGGUGGCGAAGGCGAGUAUCUGGCACAUAACUGACGCUGAGGAGCGAAAGCGUGGGUAGCGAACAGGAUUAGAUACCCUUGUAGUC